GUCUACGGACAUUCCACCCUGAACAAGCCUAAUGUCUGAUCUCGUGAAGUAAAGCGAGGUCAGGCCUGGUUAGUACUUGAAUGGGAGACCACCUAGGAAGACCAGAUGCUGUAAGCA
rnacentral:rRNA from 1 species